rnacentral:rRNA from 1 species
GCUCCCUGGUUGAUCCUGCCAGUAGUCAUAUGCUCGUCUCAAAGAUUAAGCCAUGCAUGUCUCAGUGCAAGCCGCAUUAAGGUGAAACCGCGGAUGGCUCAUUAAAUCAGUCAUGGUUCCUUGGACGUAGCCCGGUUACAUGGAUAACUGUGGCAAUUCUAGAGCUAAUACAUGCAAUCUAGGCCUCGGCCGCAGAGCGCGGAAGGGGCGCAGUUAUUAGAUCAAAACCAACCGGAUUCCGUUUCCCUCUCGCAGGGUUCGGAUCCGCCGUUGAACUUUGGUGACUCUGAAUAAAUGAGGACAUUAUGCGGAUCGCACGGCCCUCGCGCCGGCGACGCGUCCUUCAAACGUCUGCCUUAUCAACUGUCGACGGCAGAUUCUGUGCCUGCCGUGGUCGUAACGGGUAACGGGGAAUCAGGGUUCGAUUCCGGAGAGGGAGCCUGAGAAACGGCUACCACAUCCAAGGAAGGCAGCAGGCGCGCAAAUUACCCACUCCCGGCACGAGGAGGUAGUGACGAAAAAUAACGAUGCGGGACUCAUCCGAGGCCCCGUAAUCGGAAUGGGCACACUUUAAAUCCUUUGACGAGGACCCAUUGGAGGGCAAUUCUGGUGCCAGCCGCCGCGGUAAUUCCAGAUCCAAUAGCGUAUACUAAAGCUGUUGCGGUUAAAAAGCUCGUAGUCGGACCUGUGUCCCGCUGUGUCGGUACGCCGCCCGACGGCGUUUGACUGGCAUGCACGCGAGGACGUCCUGACGGUUCGGGCAGAGGUCCCGGGUCGCGCUUCCCGUUCGGCUGUCGGUUCGCAGACGCGAGACAAGACGGGUUCGCCCCCCCAGCGGCGUAUCCCGUCCUCUCCGUUGCCGGCACGUCCGGGCGAGGAUCCCCGCGGCUCGCGGUCCCUCCCGACGAUGGGUCUGGUCUCAUCCCGCCGCGGUGCUCUUAACCGAGUGUCUCGACGGGCCGUCACGUUUACUUUGAACAAAUUAGAGUGCUCAAAUCAGGCGAACAUCCGCCCGAAUAUCGGUGCAUGGAAUAAUGGAACAGGACCUCGGUUCUAUUUUGUUGGUUUUCGGAGUCCCCGAGGUAAUGAUCAAUAGGGACAGACGGGGGCAUUCGUACUGCGGCGUUAGAGGUGAAAUUCUUGGAUCGUCGCAUGACGGACGGAAGCGAAAGCAUUUGCCAAGCAUGUUUUCUCUGAUCAAGAACGAAAGUCAGAGGUUCGAAGGCGAUCAGAUACCGCCCUAGUUCUGACCAUAAACGAUGCCAGCCAGCGAUCCGCCGAAGUUCCUCCGAUGACUCGGCGGGCAGCUUCCGGGAAACCAAAGCUUUUGGGUUCCGGGGGGAGUAUGGUUGCAAAGCUGAAACUUAAAGGCAUUGACGGAAGGGCACCACCAGCAGUGGGGCCUGCGGCUUAAUUUGACUCAACACGGGAAAACUCACCAAGCCCGGACACCGGAAGGAUUGACAGGUUGAGAGCCCUUUCUUGAUUCGGUGGGUGGUGGUGCAUGGCCGUUCUUAGUUCGUGGGGCGACUUGUCUGGUUGAUUCCGAUAACGAACGAGACUCCGGCCUGCUAACUAGUCGGGUCCGGCAUCCGCCGCGCUGCCGGCGACGAUGAAUCUUCUUAGAGGGACAAGCUGCGUCCAGCAGCACGAGAUGGAGCGAUAACAGGUCUGUGAUGCCCUUAGAUGUCUUGGGCCGCACGCGCGCCACACUGAACGAGACAGCGUGUAAUUCCUUGGCCGAGAGGUCCGGGUAACCCGUUGAAACUCGUUCGUGAUGGGGAUCGGGGCUUGAAAUUGUUCCCCGUAAACGAGGAAUUCCAAGUAAUCGCCGGUCAUAAGCCCGCGCUGAUUAAGUCCCUGCCCUUUGUACACACCGCCCGUCGCUACUACCGAUUGAAUGGUUUAGUGAGGGCUUUGGACCGGCGGAAGAGAGCCGCCGUUAACUCGGCCUCUCGUCCCAGCCGGAAAGAUGUCCGAACUUGACCAUUUAGAGGAAGUAAAAGUCGUAACAAGGUUGCCGUAGGUGAACCUGUGGCAGGACCAUCA